GGAUGCGUGGCGAAAUGGUAUCGCGCUUGACUACGAAUCAAGCGAUUGCGGGUUCGAAUCCCGUCGCGUCCU
rfam:Capronia semiimmersa strain CBS 27337 unplaced genomic scaffold supercont1.8, whole genome shotgun sequence.